GCUUACGGCCAUACCACUCUGAGCACGCCCGAGUCUCUCGGAAGCCAAGCAGGUCGGGCUGGUUAGUACUUGGACGGAGACCGCCUGGGAAUACCAGGUGCUGUAAGCU
rnacentral:rRNA from 1 species